UGUUUGUUUUACUUAUAUCCCUCAGUGAAAUGGUGAGACCAACCUCUCACAUAUGGAAACAUUUCUACAUCGCAAGAGAGAAAGAAUGAGAUUUCAAAAUAAUGUCAUAUGGGAUAUACAAUUCCAGGGGAGCAUACUAGAUAAUAUUUCAUGUAGUGAAGGGAAUAGUCUGGAUGAAAGUUUGUAUCUCUUCCCCUUUUCUUCUCAUUUCUUUAAAAAGUGCUUUCUGAAUCCAUUCGAUGCUGUGGGGUACAUUUAACAAUAUGGAUUCUUCUUCUUGACAAUCUCGGUCUGCUUCUCAUAUUCCAGGAAAAAAUAAGUGAGAAAGAGAUAUUGGAUUCCAUGAAAAAAUCUGCUCAACUAUUUGCAUGAUUUUAAUAUUCCCACUAAGUUAUUUUUCUUCUUUCAUCCUUUGAGGAAAAGAACAAAAAGAUGGAAAACAGUAUUUGCCCCCUCAUGGUUUCAAAAUUUCCAGAAAUGUUAAACCUCUUUUUAGGAUGUCACUGAUGUAGGUUGCAAUUAUCUAUAAGACUUGGAAUUUUCCUACACUAAUGAAAACUUGGCAGGUUAGUGAGUUUGGGGAUUCUGGAUGAAAGGAUUUGUUUUCACUUAUGUGAGAGCAUUGUGCCCAUUUUAUAAUUGUUUCAAUUAUUUAAUUUUGAAACACCCAAUUUCAAAUUUCUUUCUUUUCCAGGACUCAAUUUUGGCAGGUAAUCAUUUAGGUUAACAUCACCGAGCAGCCCCUAUCGCUUGCAUAAUACUCAUUUGGAACUCCUGUGUUCACACAGCCUUUAAUAACUGUGUUGCAUAGCAAUGAAAACCAUUGUUCAACUAAAGCACUUUGGCUCUCAUAUCAAUAAUGGGAGGAAAUAAAAUCUCCAUCCUGUUUUUAAUUAGUGUUUGGCCAUAUAGCCCAGCACUAUAAAAAUGCUUAUUUUAUUGUAUUGUGUAAAAUUUGUGCCACAUUUGUGAAUGCACGUACAGUGGCAAUGCUAUGGUGGGUCCACGAAAAUAAAAUAUGGCUUCUUAAGUCCAUGUCAGUGAAAAUGAGGAAAACUCUAUCAAGAUAAAUUGAGAACUUGCUCAAUUAAUACAAACAGACCAAUAAAAAAGAAAAUCAAGUAGACCACAUAUGGGUGGCUUUAUUUAAAAAAAAAAGGUUUAUUUUUCUUUUAAGUUUUGUUAUAAAAAAAGGAGUAUAAAGAGGAUAUUUUGCAUUAACCCUCCCACUUUCCUCUGUGAAAUAGUCUUCAGAUUUGUGGCUAUUAGGUACAAUCUAACAAACUACACGCUACAUCAUUUUGAAAUAAAGGCUUGCCAGAAAGCAAGAUAUAAUGAGCCUCUGGCCCUAAGAUACCCUUUGCAGUAAUAAAGAGAAAAUAAUCAGUGACACAACUAGUUGGUUGAAACCAGGAAAUGGGGAGGGAGUAAUUAUCAGUUCGUAAUCGCUGUGACCGUUACCGUUGACUAUAGUCUUCUCUCAGCGAGGCUUCUGCACCUGGCAGCUGAGGACCCAGAGGCCAGGCCACAAUGGCUGGCCCUCCAAGCCUGUCGCCCUCUCAAUGGCUGCAGAUGUUUGUGAAGAAUGCUCACUCUUAGGUAGCCUCCUUCAGUCGUAAUCCCGGAGUCCUCGGAGCAGCCAGCGGCUUGAGCUCUAACAUAAAGGCCAGGCCUGAAUGAAGGGUCUUGGGAAACCUUUGAUAGACCGGGCCUUAGAUGUUCUAAGCAGAUUGUGAAAAUAAUUUACAAGAAAUGGUCAGGUUAAUUUAAAAAGGGUUUUUGUUUGUUCGUUUGUUUGUUAAGCACAAAAUCCACAUUUUGCUGCUUCUGAAAAUUUCUAUAAAUUGAUAAGCUUGUCUGAUGUUGAUUUCUGAAUUUUAAACACAUACACGCUAGUACAAGCACACUGGACUAUAACUGGUUCUUGUUAAGCUAUUAAAAGGGAAAACUGAAAAGGGGCUUUAAGUCAGGUGCAUUCAAUAAAACUCUAUAUGAGUUGGCACAGAGGCCACUGUGUAUGUUUUCUAGCGGAGCUGGUGUUGGAAGUUUAUCACCUGUAUUACUUACAGUUAAAUGCUAUUUUGCGUUUUUAAAAGUACUGUUAUAAUUUCUAUCAGCUAUCAUUACAGUAUAUUCAUAAUUGAUGAAUUAACUUGAUGUGAAGAGGCAAGUAAUACAGUCCUUAGAUUUACUGGCUUUUUAUAAUGAUUUAUGCAUGUUGAUUAGCCAUGACUUUCAGGAGAAGGAAAAGGAGUUCAAAGAGGGCUCUUGAGGGCAGGAUAAGUGCUCCAUUUAUACUGAUAGAUUAAACAUGUUGAUUAUCACUAUCAAUAUUGUCUAGCUGAGAUAAGAAAUCAUUCUCAAUAAAGAUGGCAAGUAACAUACUAAUUUAAGGGCCAGAUUAUGGUUCGCUCUUUAUGAGCCUAAGGAAUCAUAGGAUCGUUCUUCAUGAUUCUUCCUGAAAGGAAAUAUUUUCUUCAUCAUUCAUGGAAUGUUUUUGAAAUUUGGCUGAAGCUGGAAUCAUUGACUCUUUCUGCCCUUCCACGCUCUCUGUGUUCCUCUGGGAAAGUAUUUGUCCUCCUUGGAAUUUGGUAACACUAUUUGGAUUGGCUGAAGGAGUUGGCAAGAGGCAAACUGAGCCCUGCGAAUGUGAAAUUUCAAAGAGCGCCGUCAUGGCUUCUGCAACACACACCCUCCGUCCCCUGGACCAAGGAAACAGCAUAUGCAUGAUAGGAUGUGCUCUAAGCAUGGCAAAGAUAAUUCUUAGUCAACAUAACAUGAAUUCUGUCUAAGGUACACAUGUUCACUUCCUGGAGAGACUAGCUGAUCUGAAUUUGAUGCUUUUCUAAGCAACUAAGCUAUCCGAGACCCACUGGAUAUUGGUUCUCUAUAGUAAAUACUCUUUUUAAAGCCAACAACCUCCCUCCCAUGAUGUGUCUUUGAGAGAUGGUGGCCCUGAUGUUUGUUCAUCCCUGUGACAGUACUGUAGCCAGGCAUCCCCAGACACACAUUUCUCACAUCCAUUUCUGAAAUAAUGUAGUAAAACGAGAUCUCAAAAUUGUGUUCAUUAUUUGGAAAGGAUUGUUAUGAGGUUUUAAUUAGAAGUUAUGCGCACCGAGAGAUUUAUGGCUGUAAAUUUCCCUGUACACAUGGUUUUCAUUAUAAUGGCGGUGAACCAAUAACUUUUAUGUGAUUCCCACUGCCCACCCCUCCCUCUGCCCCCUGUGAAAUUGAAAUCAUAUUAGAGGUCACCCAGGUUUUUGAAAGAAGGGUGGACAUUUAUAGAUUGUCUAGAAACAGGAAUCCUUCUGUUUAAGAAACAAGCCAGAAAUACCGUAGGAAAAGAUGAGCUAGAUUAUUCUUUGUCGUGUAAGUGUGGGAAAAUAAAAACGAUCUGAAACGCAGGCUUGUUCUAAGGGUAAUACUUUUUCUUUUGGAAAUUCGUAUUUUCUGCGAAGAAUGUAUUAAUCAACUCAGGGUUGGGUUAAUGGUCACAGACUGGUUAAUGUACCCCAGUCGUUUCACCAUCAUAUUGUAUAUACCAUUCAGUUGGAAAUCUGUGCAAAAACACAGCUAUUGUUCUCUGUGGAACACACACACACACACACACACACACACACUCUAGUUGGAUUUCUGCAUUAUAAUGUGGCCUAGGUUAUGAAAUAUCUCGUGUUUUCCCUCAGUGUAAAUUGUGACUAUUAUGUAUCAUUAAACAAUUUUCAUAUUAGAAACUGUAAUUCUAAAAUCUUUAGUUCCCUAGGGUGGUCGUCUGAAUCCAUCAUCUUCAACACCAGAAGGAGAAGAUGGGUAGAAGUGACACUGAAUUGUUUUGAGCGGAAGGAGAUUUUUCACAGAAUUCUUUCUGUAUUCCCAUAUUAUAGUCAUCAUACUUUCAUAACUUCAGGGAGAAAAUAAAUUUUGCUAAAACUGAUAUGAAUGAAUUCAGUCCUACUUUAAAAUAUAUUGAUCUUUAUAAUAGGAUGUAUAUACAUUUGAGGAAUAACAGAAAAGUUCUUUGCAAUAUAUCAUUUAUUCAAUAUAAAAAUUUGAGGGACCUGUAGAUUCAGGAACGCCUCUGCCUUGAUUUCCUCAAGGGUUUGUGACUACAGAUUUGAAAGUAUUGUUGUCAUAUUACAUUCAAAUAGUCAUGGUCCAUUUUAAAACAACAGUAACAAUUUUUUUAGGGCCCUGAGAACAUGUCUGUGGACUUUACUUGAAAAAAGUAAAAUCAACUUUAUGAAAGUUUUUCUGAAUUUGCAUUAACACCGCAAAACAAUUUUAUUUAUAAGAUUAUCAUGAUGCUGAAAAUGCAAUGUUUAAGAUGUUGGUAAACUUGGGGCUUCUGAAAAUAUGUCUGAAGAUCCCUCAACCCAGAAAAACUUAGACGCCUCAGAUACUAGUCACAGAGCAUGACAAUCAUUUUGGCUUUGAAAGUGGACUUGGAACUUGGGUUAUUUCUUAAAUUAGAAGCAAGAAUAUACUAGACUAUUCUGUGGGAACUUAAGGCCUUUUGAACUAAAGAGAGGGGUCAAGAAAAAUUAUGCAUUGAGUACCUACAGUGUACUCGACAAUGUUGACCUAUGUGUUCUAUUGACCCCUGAAAAUAAUCCUAGAGUAUAGUUGUAACUAUCCGCUCAGUGUAACCAACGAGGGGGAGUGAGAUGGGAACUGCCGCGGGGGAGACAUGCUAGACAAAUAAACUCCUGGGAAGAAAGAUUCCCCAUCUGAACCAAAUGGCAACUAGGAUGCUUAUGCUUAGACGUUAAUUUGGAAGAAUAGGUGAAGAAGCCCAGCAUUACUGAAGGGUGGACCCAGCCUUAGCAACUGCACAGCUAUUGUGCCGCAGACAAACAACACACAAUACAGAGAGAGCCGGGCCAAGGGAAAGGCUUUCUGAGGACCGAAGCCAAGCAGGCUUGUAGCAAGAGUAGAGAGGCAGCUGCGAGCUCUCUGAAGACCAGGAAGAGAACAUUUCAAAUUUCCGUGGGAAAGAGCCAGUAGGGACUGAAAACACAUGUUAAGCACAUAAUAGGAAAUUAGGAAGUUUUUAACAAAAUGGAUGAGUGGGUGUUUUAGUAACUAUUGCUACCUU
rnacentral:lncRNA from 1 species